rnacentral:rRNA from 1 species
UACGUAGGGUGCGAGCGUUAAUCGGAAUUACUGGGCGUAAAGCGUGCGCAGGCGGUUUUGUAAGCCAGAUGUGAAAUCCCCGGGCUCAACCUGGGAAUGGCGAUGGAGACUGCAAGGCUAGAGUUUGGCAGAGGGGGGUAGAAUUCCACGUGUAGCAGUGAAAUGCGUAGAUAUGUGGAGGAAUACCGAUGGCGAAGGCAGCCCCCUGGGAUAACACUGACGCUCAUGCACGAAAGCGUGGGGAGCAAACAGG